AAGUUGCCUGUGAGCUCUCUCCAUUAAUUCUGUUUUACGCUAUCUAAAAAACAAAAACCAAGAUGAAAUGAUCAAUUUUUCUGCGACAUUUGUUCGUUGACAACACCACCACCGCCUCUCUCCUCCGCCGUCGCCGAUGGAAAAAGCUAUGACCAGCUCCUCCGCCACUUCUCGCAAGGUUCUAAGCAAGAUCGCUUCGAAUCGACUCCAGAAGGAGCUGGAAGAGUGGCAGGUCAACCCUCCCUCUGGAUUCAAACACAGGGCCACCGAUAAUCUUCAAAGUUGGGUAAUUGAAGUGAAUGGAGCUCAGGGAACUCUCUAUGCUAAUGAAACUUACCAGCUUCAGGUCGAUUUUCCUGAACAUUAUCCCAUGGACGCUCCACAGGUUAUAUUUCUGCAACCAGCUCCUCUGCACCCUCAUAUCUACAGCAACGGUCACAUUUGCUUAGAUAUCUUGUAUGAUUCUUGGUCCCCAGCCAUGACUGUUAGUUCUAUCUGUAUCAGCAUUCUCUCCAUGCUAUCAAGCUCAACCAUGAAGCAACGGCCCGAAGAUAAUGAUCGCUAUGUAAAGAACUGUGGAAAUGGCAGAUCUCCCAAGGAGACUAGGUGGUGGUUCCAUGACGAUAAAGUGUAAUAAUAGAGCAUCUCCCCCAUCAUUAGUUGUUUGGGAAGUAGCUUGCAUGAAUCUCUUUUUUCAAAGGGAAUGCCCAAACAAUGAAAAGGUUGAGGAAAUAAAAAUUUAAAAAAAAAGAAAAAAAAAAAGAAGAAGAUUCUUAAAACCAUAGGUAAGGUGAAGGCUUUGGUUGAUAUUAAUUAGGCACUGGUAUUUGUAAAUGAAUAGCAUGAUCUUGCUUAUUUGUGGUUACUAAUUGUAAGUUAAUACUUUGUGCAUGUGAACUCAAUGCCAACUGAUACUGUCUCUCCUUGAUAAGCGAUGAAGUUCAGACUCAUUGCUGUGUUUCUUAUCUAUGAUCUUCUCUUCUAACU